GAGCAGAUCCGCUGGAUGACCGGAGGAGGUGGACAUUCGGCUGUCAUCACUGAAUCAGAUGACCUGCUGAUGUGUGGACAGAACCACAAAGGUCAGUAAGGGUGUCAUAACCUUUCAACUCUGCCCUUUGCCUGGGUAUACAAGAGUUCAGCAGGUGUCCUGUGGUUGGGACUUCUCUGUUAUCUUGACUGGUGACGACGGUCAGGUCUUGGAGUGCGGCUCCAAUGCGUUUGGACAGCUGGGCAUCUCGCCAAGAAUAACACACUCAGCAGAACUUUUACACGUGAAGACCCUGAAUGAGCCGGUAACUAGUGUGGCUGCAGGGCUUAGACACACAUUAGCAAGUACAGCAUCAGGUUGUGUUUAUCAAUGGGGAACUGGCCUGUCGAGUCACGCUAAGAGAAUGUUAAAUCCUCAACCUUUUCCUGCACAUCUAUCCUCUAAGGAGCCUUGCAUUGU